rnacentral:rRNA from 1 species
AUUGAACGCUGGCGGCAGGCCUAACACAUGCAAGUCGAACGAGUGGCGGACUGGUGAGUAAUGUCUGGGAAACUGCCUGAUGGAGGGGGAUAACUACUGGAAACGGUAGCUAAUACCGCAUACCAUCGGAUGUGCCCAGAGGGGAUUAGCUAGUGGGUGGGGUAAAGGCUCACCUAGGCGACGAUGCCUAGCUGGUCUGCGAGGAUGAACAGCCACACUGGAACUGAGACACGGUCCAGACUCCUACGGGAGGCAGCAGUGGGGAAUAUUGCACAAUGGGCGAAAGCCUGAUGGAGCAAUGCCGCGUGUAUGAAGAAGGUCUUCGGGUUGUAAAGUACUUUCGGCAGGGAAGCGGUACCCACAGAAGAAGCACCGGCUAACUCCGUGCCAGCAGCCGCGGUAAUAC